rnacentral:rRNA from 1 species
CACGUAGGCCGAUUGUUAAGUCAGGGGUGAAAUCCUGGAGCUCAACUCCAGAACUGCCCUUGAUACUGACGGUCUCGAGUCCGGGAGAGGUGAGUGGAACUGCGAGUGUAGAGGUGAAAUUCGUAGAUAUUCGCAAGAACACCAGUGGCGAAGGCGGCUCACUGGCCCGGUACUGACGCUGAGGUGCGAAAGCGUGGGAGCAAACA